GUGAUGAUUGUUCCCGGUUGUCAGUUUCACUUGAUCUUUUGUUAAGCUGUUGUUGACUUAUGGGAUAACCAGAAAGAUUACGAUUACUAUUUGAUCGACCGCUGCUUCGUCUUGCGUCUUUUAAAUGCACUGGUUCACCAUCUGAACGUUUACUCCUCUGACUACGCCUUGGGAAGGUAUCACCUUUGAUUACUGGAUAAGAGACAGAUUUACCAAUCAUAAAACUAGUAGACAUUGUGAAAAACUGUUUUAUUUAACCAGAUAAUCAACCGAUGUAGCUCCAGUAAACAAAAAAGUGGACAAAUUUUAGUCAAAGAUGAAUGGUUAUUCCAAAUGAAUUGGCCCAAGUUUCAAUCAAACUAAACUUUGUUGGAUUCUGUUUUUUAUUUGCAAAACUGUGUCAAUGUCUAUGUCUAUGACUAAAUCAUCACAAAAAAGGCUAAAGGAAACUAAGGGACGAUUAAAGGUGAACAAGAAAUGGCAAUGAAAAAGGAGAUGAAUGCUGUAAGAUGAUGGAGCUGAUGAAGAGAAACAAGUCGUAGAAGAGGAAUACGGACUGUUACCACUUGGGAGAAUGAUAUUGUCAUGGUAAUGAUGUUACUGCUGUUGUUACUUUUGCCUGUUGUUAUACCAGAUGAUGAUGAUGAUGCUUUUUGCACAUGGGAGUCAUCAUAGAACUCAUUCUCGAGCCAUUAUGAUCCACUUAUCAGUAACCCUGUUCAUCUAUGCCUCAUGCUAUUUGAGUGACAAUUUAUUUCUUUCUCAUCUUCGGUUUGCACUUUUGCUUUUAUCAAAUUUUACUCCUUUUUUGGUGUUACAGUCAACCAAGCAACUACCAAAGUUACAAUAGACCACGAAUAGCCUAAAGGAGCAAUGCUGUUGUGAAUUACUUUCCACUAUUGAUGAACUGAAUGGAUGGUCAGAGUAAAAAGGAGUUAACAAUUUAUUACCAAUGUCAACCUUCAUUCAUUUCAACCAAAACCACAAACUUUCAGCUAAAUACAGUGGAUGGUCAAAGUGAGACACAAUGGUGGACAUUGAUAAAAUUUGAAAAAAAAUCUUGUUCCCAGCUUUUCUCCCAUCAUUAAAUGAUUGAAAUGUGGCGGUAAAAGUUAGCUAAGAAUUAAUUGUUUUUAAAAAGGCGAUGAAAACGAGAUUUUGAGAUGAAAUUAAAAUAUUGUUAGCCACAAUGAACUGAAUCAACAUAUUAACUUUGAUAACCUUUAGUGGUUUGGCAACUACAAAAGACUUCAUUAGCCAAAGAAUCAGCAUUUACAUUGUAACUCCUGUAUUAUCUCAAGAUUUACUGUUGAUGACUACUUCCAAUGGCUAAAAUCAAUUCAAACUGCCGAUGCAAGCCUCCAAGAUGGAUCCAUCUGAAGAUAAUUACUUGUUAUUAAAAAUGGCAAUAAAGCAACACAUGAAGUCGCACUUUUUGAACCAACUUUCAACUACUGGAUAAUUAUACGUUUGAAAAAUAGUAUGAAAACAAGGAAAUAUAAUAACCCAGGCCCAGGCAUCCCUAAUGCUGUUGGAAAUGUUGUUGACUUUUUUUCAUUUUUGCUGCUGCUCAAGAAAAGGAGAACAAAAAAGACAGAAUUGAAUGAUGAUAAUUGUUAGAUGAAAAGAUGAAAAUGGCAAAGACGUAGGCCCAGGCAAUGAUAAAGGAUGAGAUUGCAAGUUGUGAUUCCAUAAAGCAAGGCAAAGAAACGAUGAGGAUGCUUAUCCCUAUUACUGAUGCUUUUUCUCUGUUCCUUCCCUCGUUACAAUUACCAGUGACUUUGUUGAUGCAGUUGAUACAUCAACCAGAAAUCAGUCAACUGUGUUUUUCUCAUUUCAUUAAUUGCAUCUCCAAAGAUCUCUGAGAAACGGUUCAACGCGUCCCUCACCCUUUCCCUCUAUCCUCAUCUUUCAUCCACCUUCUUCACCUUUACCUUUUAUUCCUCAUUUUCUUUAAUCUUCAUCUUUUCUCAUCUUCUCAUUUCAUUUGUUUCUCCAUCUAUUUCAUUCUCAUCCUCUUUGACUAAAUCAUCAUCUUGUUUGCCCUCAAAUCAUCGCCAUCGUCAACUCAACAGACAACAACAACAAAAAAACACACAACAAUAUCAUCAUCUUACCUACGCUUUGAAUUAUCCUCUUCUCAGGACAAUCAAAUAAUUGUUCAUCUUCUUACUUCUACCAAGUCUUGCUUAUUAUUUCAUCUUAAUCAUCUUUCAAGCCUUUCCUCUAUAUCAUCACAAGUUCCUUUCAUUGUUAACCUUUUCUCAUCCACUUCACUCUCUUAUUGACUCUCACCGAUCAAUUAAUAGAUAUAAAACUAACAUCAACUGCUCAACAAAACAAAAAGAGAUUCAAUAAUUGAUUACCUGUAAUCACCCAAAGAUGACAAUAUGAUUUAGAGGAUGAAAUUGAAGCCUUUAAAUUUAAAAACUUGUGGCUUAAGUGAUCAUUUUCACUCUUCACCUUUAACUUUACCACUUAUGUAAAAUUACACAUCAAUUGCCAACCUUAAGAAAUGAUAAAUGAUAUUUUUUUCAAAACAAAAGCUAACCAAUUCCCUGUAAUAUUGUAAACUCACUCCUUUUUUUCAACUUAAAUAUUAAUUCUCACCCAUUUAAAUGUAUAUAUUUCCGAUCAAUUUCAUAGUCACUCUCUCAUUCAUUUUACACUUUACCAUUUUCACCCGUUUACUUAAACUGAUCAUUUAUGCAUAUAAUACAAUAUUAUUGGGAGGGAAGAGAUGAAUGUAUAUCAUGAAAAUAAAUAAGUACAACUCAAUUUAAAUAAUAUCUCGAGAUCUCAAAUAAUCCUGCAACUUUAACCAAUCAUUUAUUACCAUGAUUAUGUUAAAUAAUCAUAUCAAUAAUAUCACAAGAAUCAAAAAUGAAAUAAAAUAACUUUACCAUGUCAA